ACUGUGCCCCAACUCCCAGGCUUAUCCCCUGAGUCAGUUUGAUGACUUAAGUCCUUCAAAAACCAUGUCCAAAAGGUGGUUUAAGAAGAAAAGCCAAGAAAACAUGAGUCUGUGCCAUCAGACUACAUUCUCAUUUCCUCCAAGAAUGUAGUCACCACAAUGCCUCAGUGCCUCUCGCUGUCUCUCUCUUUAUCCGUCGCUGCACAUCCGUGUCUUGGCGUCUACAUGAAAAUCUUCCGACGGCCACAGGUGGGGAGACGAAGCUCUUGGCCAACCUUGGCGUCCUCUUUGCGUGCCGUGCGUGUCCCGCUCCCCACAGCUUCGCGUCCAUCAACAUUACGUCUGGGUUUCACCGGGCAUCUCUAGGAUGACUCCGACUCCAGGAUGUCACCGCAAUUGUGGGAGACUUCAGCCAGCUCAUUUUACAACAGGUCUAGCUCUACUUAUAUCCCAUAAACAUAUGCCUGCGGGGUGAACUUUGGUGUUGAGGCAAUUUUACAUACGUCUUGGCUCGUUCCUCCUUGUAAAUAAAUAAAAUAAUUAUG